GACAGAGGAUGCAAGCGUUAUCCGGAAUGAUUGGGCGUAAAGCGUCUGUAGGUGGCUUUUUAAGUCCGCCGUCAAAUCCCAGGGCUCAACCCUGGACAGGCGGUGGAAACUACCAAGCUGGAGUACGGUAGGGGCAGAGGGAAUUUCCGGUGGAGCGGUGAAAUGCGUAGAGAUGUGGAGGAACACCGAUGGCGAAGGCAGCCCCUGGGUCAAGAUUGACGCUCAUGCACGAAAGCGUGGGGAGCAAACAGG
rnacentral:rRNA from 1 species